GACGAACGCUGGCGGCGUGCUUAACACAUGCAAGUCGAGCGGUAAGGCCCUUUCGGGGGUACACGAGCGGCGAACGGGUGAGUAACACGUGGGUGACCUGCCCUCAGCUCUGGGAUAAGCCUGGGAAACCGGGUCUAAUACUGGAUAUGACUCCAUGACGCAUGUUGUGGGGUGGAAAGCCUUGUGCGGCUGAGGAUGGGCCCGCGGCCUAUCAGCUUGUUGGUGGGGUGANGGCCUACCAAGGCGACGACGGGUAGCCGGCCUGAGAGGGCGACCGGCCACACUGGGACUGAGACACGGCCCAGACUCCUACGGGAGGCAGCAGUGGGGAAUCUUGCGCAAUGGGCGAAAGCCUGACGCAGCGACGCCGCGUGGGGGAUGAAGGUCUUCGGAUUGUAAACCCCUUUCGGGAGGGAAGAUGGAAUGGGGUAACCCAUUCGACGGUACCUCCAGAAGCAGCCACGGCUAACUUCGUGCCAG
rnacentral:rRNA from 1 species